UACGGAGGGGGCAAGCGUUAUUCGGAAUUAUUGGGCGUAAAGGGCGCGUAGGCGGCUAGAUGUGUCAAAGGUGAAAUCCCUCGGCUCAACUGAGGAACUGCCUUUGAAACUGUCUGGCUUGAGGCCGGAAGAGGGUAGCGGAAUUCCCAGUGUAGCGGUGAAAUGCGUAGAUAUUGGGAGGAACACCAGUGGCGAAGGCGGCUACCUGGACCGGUUCUGACGCUGAGGCGCGAAAGCGUGGGGAGCAAACAGG
rnacentral:rRNA from 1 species